UACGGGAGGCAGCAGUCGGGAAUUUUGCGCAAUGGAGGAAACUCUGACGCAGUGACGCCGCGUGCAGGAAGAAGGUUUUCGGAUUGUAAACUGCUUUAGACAGGGAAGAAAAGGGACAGUACCUGUAGAAUAAGCUCCGGCUAACUACGUGCCAGCAGCCGCGGUAAU
rnacentral:rRNA from 1 species